rnacentral:rRNA from 1 species
GACGAGUGGCGAACGGGUGCGUAACGCGUAUGCAACCUACCCUUUACUGGAGAAUAGCCCAGAGAAAUUUGGAUUAAUACUUCAUAGUAUUACAGAUUCGCAUGUUUCUGUAAUUAAAGUUCCAACGGUAAAGGAUGGGCAUGCGUGACAUUAGUUUGUUGGUGAGGUAAUGGCUCACCAAGACUACGAUGUCUAG